rnacentral:rRNA from 1 species
AAGGAAUAUUGGACAAUGGAGGCAACUCUGAUCCAGCCAUGCCGCGUGAAGGAUUAAGGCCCUAUGGGUUGUAAACUUCUUUUAGACGGGACAAAACCCCUUUACGUGUAAAGGGUUGAUGGUACUGUCAGAAUAAGCAUCGGCUAACUUCGUGCCAGCAGCCGCGGUAAUACGAAGGAUGCAAGCGUUAUCCGGAAUUAUUGGGUUUAAAGGGUGCGUAGGCGGACUAAUAAGUCAGUGGUGAAAGCCUGCAGCUUAACUGCAGAAUUGCCGUUGAUACUGUUAGUCUUGAGUACAGUUGAGGUAGGCGGAAUGUGUCAUGUAGCGGUGAAAUGCUUAGAUAUGACACAGAACACCGAUUGCGAAGGCAGCUUGCUAAGCUGUAACUGACGCUGAGGCACGAAAGCGUGGGGAGCAAAC